rnacentral:rRNA from 1 species
GAUGAACGCUGGCGGCGUGCCUAAUACAUGCAAGUCGAGCGAACAGAUAAGGAGCUUGCUCCUUUGACGUUAGCGGCGGACGGGUGAGUAACACGUGGGUAACCUACUUAUAAGACUGGGAUAACUUCGGGAAACCGGAGCUAAUACCGGAUAACAUUUGGAACCGCAUGGUUCUAAAGUGAAAGAUGGUUUUGCUAUCACUUAUAGAUGGUCCCGCGCCGUAUUAGCUAGUUGGUAAGGUAACGGCUUACCAAGGCGACGAUACGUAGCCGACCUGAGAGGGUGAUCGGCCACACUGGAACUGAGACGCGGUCCAGACUCCUACGGGAGGCAGCAGUAGGGAAUCUGCCGCAAUGGGCGAAAGCCUGACAGAGCAACGCCGCGUGAGUGAUGAAGGGGUUCGGCUCGUAAAACUCUGUUAUUAGGGAAGAACAGAUGUGGAAGUAACUGUGCACGUCUUGACGGUACCUAAUCAGAAAGCCACGGCUAACUACGUG